AACGAACGCUGGCGGCGCGUCUUAAACAUGCAAGUCGAACGAUCUGUAGCAAUACAGGGAGUGGCGGACGGGUGAGGAACACGUAGGAAUCUACCUAGAAGAGCGGGACAACUUUGGGAAACCGGGGCUAAUACCGCAUAGUACAGAGAUGUUAAAGGGCUAGCAAUAGUCGCUUCUAGUUGAGCCUGCGGUCUAUCAGGCUUGUUGGUGAGGUAAUGGCUCACCAAGGCAGCGACGGAUAGCCGGUCUGAGAGGAUGAUCGGCCACACUGGCACUGAGACACGGGCCAGACUCCUACGGGAGGCAGCAGUUAAGAAUCUUGCGCAAUGGGGGAAACCCUGACGCAGCGACGCCGCGUGAAGGAUGAAGGCUUUCGGGUGUAAACUUCGGUAGACUGGGAAGAAGAACUACGUUCGUUGAGGGCGUAGAGUGACGGUACCAGUCUGAAGCCCCGGCUAAUACGUGCCAGCAGCCGCGGUAAU
rnacentral:rRNA from 1 species